UACGUAGGUGACCAGCGUUGUCCGGAUUUACUGGGCGUAAAGGGCGCGUAGGCGGCUUGACAAGUCAAAGGUGAAAUCCCUCGGCUCAACUGAGGAACUGCCUUUGAAACUGUCUGGCUUGAGGCCGGGAGGGGGUAGCGGAAUUCCCAGUGUAGCGGUGAAAUGCGUAGAUAUUGGAGGAACACCAGUGGCGAAGGCGGCUACCUGGACCGGUUCUGACGCUGAUGCGCGAAAGCGUGGGUAGCAAACAGG
rnacentral:rRNA from 1 species